rnacentral:rRNA from 1 species
GCAAGGAAUAGUAGGCAAUGGGGGAAACCCUGACCUCGCGACGCCGCGUGAGGGAUGAAGGUCUUCGGAUUGUAAACCUCUUUUCCCGGGGAUGAAUAAUGACAGUACUCGGGGAAUAAGUCACGGCUAACUACGUGCCAGCAGCCGCGGUAAAACGUAGGUGGCGAACGUUAUCCGGAUUCACUGGGCGUAAAGAGUGCGUAGGCGGCUUUUCAAGUCGGAUGUAAAAUCUCCUGGCCUAACUGGGAGGGACCAUCCGAUACUGUGAGGCUAGAGUGCAUCAGAGGAGAGUGGAAUUCCCGGUGUAGUGGUGGAAUGCGUAGAUAUCGGGAGGAACACCAGUGGCGAAAGCGGCUCUCUGGGAUGUUACUGACGCUGUUGCACGAAAGCGUGGGGAGCAAACAGGAUUAGAAACCCUGGUAGUCC